rnacentral:rRNA from 1 species
CCUACGGGUGGCAGCAGUGAGGAAUAUUGGUCAAUGGGCGGAAGCCUGAACCAGCCAAGUAGCGUGCAGGAUGACGGCCCUACGGGUUGUAAACUGCUUUUAUACGGGAAUAACGCGCCUUACGUGUAGGGCUUUGCAUGUACCGUAUGAAUAAGGACCGGCUAAUUCCGUGCCAGCAGCCGCGGUAAUACGGAAGGUCCGGGCGUUAUCCGGAUUUAUUGGGUUUAAAGGGUGCGUAGGCCGCAUGUCAAGCGUGCGGUGAAAUGUCCGGGCUCAACCCCGGCCUGGCAGGGCAAACUGGCAUGCUUGAGUCGGCGGAAAGCAUGCGGAAUGCGUGGUGUAGCGGUGAAAUGCUUAGAUAUGACGAAGAACCCCGAUUGCGAAGGCAGCUUGCUGCAGCGGAACUGACGCUGAUGCUCGAAAGCGCGGGUAUCGAACAGGAUUAGAUACCCGUGUAGUC